CCUACGGGGGGCAGCAGUGGGGAAUAUUGCACAAUGGGGGAAACCCUGAUGCAGCGAUGCCGCGUGAGUGAAGAAGUAAUUCGUUAUGUAAAGCUCUAUCAGCAGGGAAGAAAAUGACGGUACCUGAGUAAGAAGCACCGGCGAACUACGUGCCAGCAGCCGCGGUAAUACGUAGGGGGCAAGCGUUAUCCGGAUUUACUGGGUGUAAUGGGAGCGUAGACGGCAGUGCAAGUCUGGAGUGAAAGGCGGGGGCUCAACCCCCGGACUGCUCUGGAAACUGUACGGCUGGAGUGCAGGAGAGGUAAGUGGAAUUCCUAGUGUAGCGGUGGAAUGCGUAGAUAUUAGGAGGAACACCAGUGGCGAAGGCGGCUUACUGGACUGUAACUGACGUUGAGGCUCGAAAGCGUGGGGAGCAAACAGGAUUAGAUACCCCUGUAGUC
rnacentral:rRNA from 1 species